GAUGAACGCUGGCGGCGUGCCUAAUACAUGCAAGUCGAGCGAACAGACGAGGAGCUUGCUCCUCUGACGUUAGCGGCGGACGGGUGAGUAACACGUGGAUAACCUACCUAUAAGACUGGGAUAACUUCGGGAAACCGGAGCUAAUACCGGAUAAUAUAUUGAACCGCAUGGUUCAAUAGUGAAAGACGGUUUUGCUGUCACUUAUAGAUGGAUCCGCGCCGCAUUAGCUAGUUGGUAAGGUAACGGCUUACCAAGGCAACGAUGCGUAGCCGACCUGAGAGGGUGAUCGGCCAAACGGGAACUGAGACACGGUACAGACGCCUACGGGAGGCAGCAGUAGGGAAUCUUCCGCAAAGGGCGAAAGCAUGACGGAGCAACGCCGCGUGAGUGAUGAAGGUCUUCGGAUCGUAAAACUCUGUUAUUAGGGAAGAAAAAAUGUGUAAGUAACUAUGCACGUCUUGACGGUACCUAAUCAGAAAGCCACGGCUAACUACGUG
rnacentral:rRNA from 1 species